GAGUGCACAUUUCCUGCAUUGGCAUUGAGAAAUUCUCCAACUAGUUGUAACAAACAAAUCACAUCAUUUAUGUUUUAAGUUAAUUUAAUUACAGCUCCUGCAAACACACAGUUGAAGUGUCCGUCAGUGUCCUAGCCAUGGCUAAAUAAUAAUUAGUGCAAUCAACCAAGGAUUACUCAGAUACUGUUGUGUUCGCACUGCAUUCACAUUCACGCAACUUGAGCAGAAUAAAUGGAAAGAGGAAACUCGACUUGGAGGUGAAAAGGAACUUUGGAAAGGACCCAAAAGAAUGAGGAGGUAGAAGAGGAGGCGGUGAGAAAAGUGUAAGGAAAAACUGAACAGGAGGAGAGCAAGGGACAUGGGAGCGAAAGGUUGGAACAGCAGAACAAUAAAGAGGAAAGGAGAAGAAAAGCAACUCUCACACCGAUGGCAGCGGAUACCAUUCAAGUGCCAGUGGCCCCAGGAAUCAAACCACCAACUAUGCACUUAUAGGAUGACCCUCCCUACCAGCUGAGCCACAGCAGUUUUAAGAUUUGCAUCAAAUUUGUAUGUCUUGUUCCACUGUUCAGACUCUCUGAAUCCCAAUGAAAGACAUCGGUUUUGCCAUUGUCUCAUGGUAAUAAGACUAUGUCAUAGCAUCAUUUUGUCAUUUGUCAUAUCCAGUAUUCCACAAAGAUUUUUAA